CAUCUCGGCUCUGUUCCUAUCUCCUUAAAUUUGGCCAAUUUCAAACCUCUCUGGGCCUCAGUCUGUUCAUUUGUACAAUGGGGGAAUUAGAUUAGUUGAUUCUGAAGUCCUUUCCAGUGCUCACAUUCUGAUUUUAAAUUUGCUGCUUCUUCUAAUAAUGUUAAUAGUAAUAAUGACAUUUAUUGCAUAUGCAGUGCCAGACAUUGAGCCAAGUGCUUUACAGGUGUUAAUAUACUUAGUACUCCUAAUAGCAUCCUAUGAGAUAGGAGCUAUUAUUAUUUUUGUUUUAUAGUUGAAGAGACCAAGAUCCAGAUAAUGUAAUUUCUCGCUAUUUUGUAAUGAAUAAGUAAGUGGCAGAGGCAGGAUUCAAACCCAGAGGGUUUUAGUCUGGAGUCAGCAUCACUUAGUUCCAGCUCUGUACUUGUUUCUCUUCAAAGACCCUGAACCCUGUUCUGCCUUCUCACCUUAGCCCGACUUGACUUCUGCCCCUCAAGCGCAGGUCCUGACUUCUUGUGUUACCUCUUUCCUGUCUAUCUUUAUCCUCUUUCUCCUCUAUCUCUCCUGGCUAUUCUUUCCUUCCUACACAAAAGAAAAGAAAAGAAAAACCAAAAAAGAGUGCCUCCCUCAGUCACUGCCUUAGCCCAGCCUCAUUAUUCUGUGCAGAUGUCCAGAUGUCACCUCCUCCCAGGGAUCUUUGCUGAACUCCUUGGCUAGGUCAGCUUUCCAUCUCCACGUACCUCCAGGCAUUUCCACUGGGAGAAAGUUAGGUUUGAGAUGCCCAUUAGACAUUAAAUAGAGAUGACCAGUGUCUGAACUGUGUUGCCCCCUCAUCCAGAACAGUGGCUCAUGAUGGUGGGACUGUGUUUGGUUCACCACUAGCAAAGACUUUGUUGUGAAGAGGACUUGGAAUAACAAAAUGUAUUUGUUUCAUGGAGCUGCUGUAAUGCAGUAUCACAAACUGUGUUCCUUAAAAUAAUGGGAAUUUAUUUUCUCACAGUUCUAGAGUCCAGACAUUGGAAAUGGAAGUGUUGGCAGGGCUGUUCUCCCUCUGCAGACCCCAAGAGAGAAUUCUUUUCCUCUUCCAGCUUCUGAUAGCUGUCUUCAUUCCUCAGCUUCCUUGGCUUGUGGCCACAUCACUCCAAUCUCUUGCUCCAUCUUCAUGUGGCCUUCUUCUCUUCUCCUGGAUUAAAGAUAAACUAAAAAUAAGAUCCUUAAUUUAAUUAUAUCUGCAAACCUUUACCUUUUCACAAAUAAGAUAGCAUUCACAGUUCUAGUGAUUUCCUCACCUGCCCUGCCAACUCUAUCUUCUGAACUUUAUCUCAGAUCCAUUCCCUUGGCCACUGCUGCAUUUUGGGCUCUUGCGUCUUUCACCUGGACUAUUGCUGUAGCCUCCUUAUCAAACUUGCUGCUUUAGUCUUUUCCAACUCCAGUCCAUCCUCUAUUGUACUGCCCAUCUUGUAACCCUAAAAGCCAGAUCAGAUUAUAUUACUCUCUUGAUAAAACAACAAGCAAACAAACCCCAAAACAAUUUUG
rnacentral:lncRNA from 10 species